UUUAUAUUAUCAGUAGCCACCAACAACAGUGAAAGCAGCAAAACAAAGGAAAGCACCUUUUUACUGAAGGAAAAUUACGGAAGAAGAAGAACAAGUAGUUGAAGAAGUCCUACAGAUUUGCGUGGUGACGAGUUUGGUAUUUCGACACGAGUACUAGACCGCAGGUGAUAUUGGUGAGGAUUACGGUAACUAGAGAGCACGAGUUGAAAGUUUCUGGUGAGCCCCGCACUUGUUCGCGUGGGCGAAGAGUCUAUUAUUUAUUAUGAUCUUUUCUUUUGAACUCUUAGAGUUGCUCCACAGUCAUUUGAUUUAUUCCAUGAGUAUUUUUUUAUUAUUAUAGACCAGUGACUAGUAUUAGGCGUUUUUCUCGUAUUUCAGAGAUGUUUUAGUAUUAUUGCGUUAAAAAUGGGUUGAUUGA